UACGAAGGGGGCUAGCGUUGCUCGGAAUCACUGGGCGUAAAGGGUGCGUAGGCGGGUCUUUAAGUCAGGGGUGAAAUCCUGGAGCUCAACUCCAGAACUGCCUUUGAUACUGGAGAGCUAGAGUCCGGAAGAGGUGAGUGGAACUGCGAGUGUAGAGGUGAAAUUCGUAGAUAUUCGCAAGAACACCAGUGGCGAAGGCGGCUCACUGGUCCGGUACUGACGCUGAGGUGCGAAAGCGUGGGGAGCAAACAGG
rnacentral:rRNA from 1 species